rnacentral:rRNA from 1 species
AGAGUUUGAUCAUGGCUCAGAACGAACACUGGCGGCGUGGAUUAGGCAUGCAAGUCGAGCGGGAUCCUGUUGAUUCAAUCCUUCGGGAGAGAAACUUCAGGUGAGAGCGGCGAACGGGUGAGUAAUAUAUGGGUAAUUUGCCCUGGAGCUCGGGAUAGCCAUUCGAAAGAGUGGGUAAUACCGAAUGUGCUCGCCCCGCACCUGCGGGGUUAUGUAAAGGUGGGGAUCUUCGGACCUGCCACUCCUGGAUAAGCCCAUAUCCUAUCAGCUUGUUGGUGAGGUAACAGCUCACCAAGGCGUUGACGGGUAGCCGACCUGAGAGGGUGACCGGCCACACUGGGACUGAGACACUGCCCAGACUCCUACGGGAGGCUGCAGUCGAGAAUCAUUGUCAAUGCACGAAAGUGUGAACAUGCGACGCCGCGUGGAGGACGAAUGCCUUCGGGUUGUAAACUCCUGUCCUGAGGGAGUAAGUGUACGACGGUUAAUACCCGCUGUACUUGAUAGUACCUCAGAAGAAAGUCACGGCUAACUCUGUGCCAGCAGCCGCGGUAAUACAGAGGUGGCAAGUGUUGUUCGGAUUUACUGGGCGUAAAGGGUUCGCAGGCGGUCCUGUGUGUCAGAUGUGAAAAUCCACGGCUUAANCUGUGGAACUGCAUUUGAAACUACAGGACUUCGAGUC